ACACUCCUACGGGAGGCAGCAGUGGGGAAUUUUGGACAAUGGGCGAAAGCCUGAUCCAGCCAUGCCGCGUGCAGGAUGAAGGCCUUCGGGUUGUAAACUGCUUUUGUACGGAACGAAACGGCCUUUUCUAAUAAAGAGGGCUAAUGACGGUACCGUAAGAAUAAGCACCGGCUAACUACGUUCCAGCAGCCGCGGUAAUACGUAGGGUGCAAGCGUUAAUCGGAAUUACUGGGCGUAAAGCGUGCGCAGGCGGUUAUGUAAGACAGUUGUGAAAUCCCCGGGCUCAACCUGGGAACUGCAUCUGUGACUGCAUAGCUAGAGUACGGUAGAGGGGGAUGGAAUUCCGCGUGUAGCAGUGAAAUGCGUAGAUAUGCGGAGGAACACCGAUGGCGAAGGCAAUCCCCUGGACCUGUACUGACGCUCAUGCACGAAAGCGUGGGGAGCAAACAGGAUUAGAUACCCUAGUAGUCCCAUGA
rnacentral:rRNA from 1 species